rnacentral:rRNA from 1 species
UACGAAGGGUGCAAGCGUUACUCGGAAUUACUGGGCGUAAAGCGUGCGUAGGUGGUUCGUUAAGUCUGUCGUGAAAUCCCCGGGCUCAACCUGGGCACUGCAGUUGAAACUGGCAAGCUAGAGUAGGGUAGAGGGGUGUGGAAUUCCAGGUGUAGCGGUGAAAUGCGCAGAUAUCAGGAGGAACACCGGUGGCGAAGGCAAUCCCCUGGGCCUGCACUGACGCUCAUGCACGAAAGCGUGGGGAGCAAACAGG